CUGCAGACCUUCAGAACGUCCUUCUCCUUCAGCUGGAGGGAGCAUGGCAGUGAGCCAAGGAGCUGGGACCCUCUGCUUUGUCCUCCUGCUGUGCUGCUGGCAAGAAACUGAGCUCCGGCCAAGAACUAUGACUCCAGGUUCAACCACUGAAAUGUCAUUCAGCUCAAAACAUCAGGAUAUGCCUGGAGUGCUUGAUGAAAUUCUAGUCCAGGAGAUUUUGGAUCCGAAUAGAACAGCAUCGACUGAAAUGCCAAGUACAGCAUCAACAUUAUCAACAACAAUACAUGCUGGUAUUGAUGAGAAUUAUCAAGCGGGUGGUUCUGAGAAUUAUCAUGAAUUAUUAGAGAAUCUACAGUUUUCUUCUGGCACUGAGGACAAAAUUUCCAAUGACGAAACCAGUGCUAAUGCGAAUCUCCAUGGUGCUCAUUCUGAGAAUUAUCACGGGCCACAGGUGUCUCCUGACAGUGAGGAGAGUUUCCAGCAAAGAAAAGAAGAAUUCAAAAAACACUCAGUAUGAAAAUCUAUCCAUUCUGGACAAAAUUCUUCAAAAUAUGGAAAGAUCUUCAGGAAACAAUUUCCGUAAAGAGCAGCCGAGGACGAGUGCUCAGAGCAGGCGCCCAGGCAGUCAGUGAGGCCGCAGCCACCGGAGCCCCGAGCGGGAGACGCACCUGCGAGGACCUCCGCCCACCAGCCUCUGGGGCAGGGCACAUGUGUGCACGCGCCCACAUUGCGUGAGCCAUUUGCAUAAAGGAAAAUCGUUAUUUCACACCA